rnacentral:rRNA from 1 species
CACAUGCAAGUCGAGGGGCAGCAUUGGGAUAGCUUGCUAUUCCAGAUGGCGACCGGCGCACGGGUGAGUAACGCGUAUCCAACCUUCCCCUUAGUAGAGGAUAGCCCGGCGAAAGUCGGAUUAAUACUCUAUGUUGUGUUUUGAGGACAUCUGACGAACACCAAAGGUUCACCGCUAAGGGAUGGGGAUGCGUCUGAUUAGCUUGUUGGCGGGGUAACGGCCCACCAAGGCUACGAUCAGUAGGGGUUCUGAGAGGAAGGUCCCCCACAUUGGUACUGAGACACGGACCAAACUCCUACGGGAGGCAGCAGUGAGGAAUAUUGGUCAAUGGGCGAGAGCCUGAACCAGCCAAGUAGCGUGCAGGACGACUGCCCUAUGGGUUGUAAACUGCUUUUAUAGGGGAAUAAAGUGAGGUACGUGUACCUUUUUGUAUGUACCCUAUGAAUAAGGACCGGCUAAUUCCGUGCCAGCAGCCGCGGUAAUACGGAAGGUCCGGGCGUUAUCCGGAUUUAUUGGGUUUAAAGGGAGCGCAGGCUGGAUUUUAAGCGUGCUGUGAAAUGUACCGGCUCAACCGGUGACGUGCAGCGCGAACUGGAGUCCUUGAGUGAGUACGAGGUAUGCGGAAUUCGUGGUGUAGCGGUGAAAUGCUUAGAUAUCACGAAGAACUCCGAUUGCGAAGGCAGCAUACCAGUCCUUAACUGACGCUAAAGCUCGAAAGUGCGGGUAUCGAACAGGAUUAGAUACCCUGGUAGUCCGCACGGUAAACGAUGGAUGCCCGCUGUUGGCGAUAUAUUGUCAGCGGCCAAGCGAAAGCGUUAAGCAUCCCACCUGGGGAGUACGCCGGCAACGGUGAAACUCAAAGGAAUUGACGGGGGCCCGCACAAGCGGAGGAACAUGUGGUUUAAUUCGAUGAUACGCGAGGAACCUUACCCGGGCUUGAACUGCAGAGGAAGGAUCUAGAGAUAGUGACGCCCUUCGGGGCCUCUGUGGAGUGCUGCAUGGUUGUCGUCAGCUCGUGCCGUGAGGUGUCGGCUUAGUGCCAUAACGAGCGCACCCCUUUCUCAGUGCAUCAGUUUAGCUGGGCACUCUGAGAAACUGCACGUAGUGUGAGAGGUGGGAUGACGUCAUCAGCACGCCUACGUCGGGCCUACCACGUGUACAUGGUGAACAGAGAGUGGGUCGCACGUGCUUAUCUUUAGUCUAUCCCAGUUCGGAUUGGCUCGAACCGACCAGGAACUGGAUUCGCAU